GCGGAAUCACUGGGCUUAAAGCGUGUGUAGGCUGGCCCGUAAGUGUCUUGUGAAAUCCCACGGCUCAACCGUGGAACUGCUGGGCAUACUGCGGGUCUUGGGCCAACUAGGGGCAGCCGGAACAAGCGGUGGAGCGGUGAAAUGCGUAGAUAUCGCUUGGAACGCCGAAGGUGAAAACAGGCUGCUGGGGUUGCGCCGACGCUGAGACACGAAAGCCAGGGGAGCAAACGGG
rnacentral:rRNA from 1 species